CUACGUAGGGUGCAAGCGUUGUCCGGAAUUAUUGGGCGUAAGAGCUCGUAGGCGGUCUGUCGCGUCUGCUGUGAAAACCCGGGCUUAACCUGGGCCUGCAGUGGGUACGGGCAGACUAGAGUGCGGUAGGGGAGAUCGGAAUUCCUGGUGUAGCGGUGAAAUGCGCAGAUAUCAGGAGGAACACCGGUGGCGAAGGCGGAUCUCUGGGCCGUAACUGACGCUGAGGAGCGAAAGCUGGGGAGCGAACAGG
rnacentral:rRNA from 1 species